rnacentral:rRNA from 1 species
UACAGAGGUCCCCAAGCGUUGUUCGGAUUCAUUGGGCGUAAAGGGUGCGUAGGUGGCGUCGUAAGUCGGGUGUGAAAUCUCGGGGGCUUAACUCCGAAACUGCAUUCGAUACUGCGGUGCUUGAGGACUGGAGAGGAGACUGGAAUUUACGGUGUAGCAGUGAAAUGCGUAGAGAUCGUAAGGAAGACCAGUGGCGAAGGCGGGUCUCUGGACAGUUCCUGACGCUGAGGCACGAAGGUCAGGGGGAGCAAACGGG